AAUAGAUACCCUGGUAGUCCACCCCGUAAACGUUGGGAACUAGUUGUGGGUCCAUUCCACGGAUUCCGUGACGCAGCUAACGCAUUAAGUUCCCCGCCUGGGGAGUACGGCCGCAAGGCUAAAACUCAAAGGAAUUGACGGGGACCCGCACAAGCGGCGGAGCAUGCGGAUUAAUUCGAUGCAACGCGAAGAACCUUACCAAGGCUUGACAUACACGAGAACGGGCCAGAAAUGGUCAACUCUUUGGACACUCGUGAACAGGUGGUGCAUGGUUGUCGUCAGCUCGUGUCGUGAGAUGUUGGGUUAAGUCCCGCAACGAGCGCAACCCUCGUUCUAUGUUGCCAGCACGUCAUGGUGGGAACUCAUGGGAUACUGCCGGGGUCAACUCGGAGGAAGGUGGGGAUGACGUCAAAUCAUCAUGCCCCUUAUGUCUUGGGCUUCACGCAUGCUACAAUGGCCGGUACAAAGGGCUGCAAUACCGUGAGGUGGAGCGAAUCCCAAAAAGCCGGUCCCAGUUCGGAUUGAGGU
rnacentral:rRNA from 1 species